rnacentral:rRNA from 1 species
CGGAACAACUCGGCGAAAGCUGAGCUAAUACCGUAUGUGUCCUUCGGGAGAAAGAUUUAUCGCCAAAGGAUGUGCCCGCGUCGGAUUAGCUAGUUGGUGGGUAACGGCCCACCAAGGCGACGAUCCGUAGCUGGUCUGAGAGGAUGAUCAGCCACACUGGGACUGAGACACGGCCCAGACUCCUACGGGAGGCAGCAGUGGGAAUAUUGGACAAUGGGGGCAACCCUGAUCCAGCCAUGCCGCGUGAGUGAUGAAGGCCUUAGGGUUGUAAAGCUCUUUCGCCCGCGAAGAUAAUGACUGUAGCGGGAGAAGAAGCCCCGGCUAACUUCGUGCCAGCAGCCGCGGUAAUACGAAGGGGGCUAGCGUUGUUCGGAAUCACUGGGCGUAAAGCGUACGUAGGCGGGCAAUUAAGUCAGGGGUGAAAGCCUUGAGCUCAACUCAAGAACUGCCUUUGAUACUGGUUGCCUGGAGUCCGGGAGAGGUGAGUGGAACUGCUAGUGUAGAGGUG